UACGGAGGAUGCAAGCGUUAUCCGGAUUUAUUGGGUUUAAAGGGUGCGUAGGCGGGGCAGCAAGUCAGUGGUGAAAUCUUUCGGCUUAACUGAAAAACUACCAUUGAAACUGUUGUCCUUGAGUAUAUUUGGAGUGGGCGGAAUGUGUCAUGUAGCGGUGAAAUGCUUAGAUAUGACACAGAACACCAAUCGCGAAGGCAGCUCACUAAACUAUAACUGACGCUGAAGCACGAAAGCGUGGGGAUCAAACAGG
rnacentral:rRNA from 1 species